rnacentral:rRNA from 1 species
UACGUAGGGGGCAAGCGUUGUCCGGAUUUAUUGGGCGUAAAGAGCGUGUAGGCGGCCAUUCAGGUCAGCUGUGAAAACUCGAGGCUCAACCUCGAGACGUCGGUUGAAACCGUUUGGCUAGAGUCCGGAAGAGGAGAGUGGAAUUCCCGGUGUAGCGGUGAAAUGCGCAGAUAUCGGGAAGAACACCCGUGGCGAAGGCGGCUACCUGGACCAGCACUGACACUGAGGCACGAAAAGCGUGGGGGAGCAAAACAGG